GAUGAACGCUGGCGGCGUGCUUAACACAUGCAAGUCGAACGGAAAGGCCCUGCUUGCAGGGUACUCGAGUGGCGAACGGGUGAGUAACACGUGGGUGAUCUGCCCUGUACUUUGGGAUAAGCCUGGGAAACUGGGUCUAAUACCGAAUAUGACAAUUGUUUGGAUGCGAUUGUGGAAAGCUUUUGCGGUAUGGGAUGAGCUCGCGGCCUAUCGGCUUGUUGGUGGGGUAAUGGCCUACCAAGGCGUCGACGGGUAGCCGGCCUGAGAGGGUGUACGGCCACAUUGGGACUGAGAUACGGCCCAGACUCCUACGGGAGGCAGCAGUGGGGAAUAUUGCACAAUGGGCGCAAGCCUGAUGCAGCGACGCCGCGUGGGGGAUGACGGCCUUCGGGUUGUAAACUCCUUUCGCAACCGACGAAGCCUUUUGGUGACGGUAGGUUGAGAAGAAGCACCGGCUAACUACGUG
rnacentral:rRNA from 1 species